rnacentral:rRNA from 1 species
CACAGAGUUAGCCGUGCCUUCCUCUGGGGUAGAUCAGAACUUUCUUACCCCUGACAGUGGUUUACAUCCCGAAGGACUUCGUCCCACACGCGGCGUCGCUCCGUCACACUUUCGUGCAUUGCGGAAGAUUCGUUACUGCAGCCCCCCGUAGGAGUCUGGGCAGUGUCUCAGUCCCAAUGUGGCCGGCCAACCUCUCAGUCCGGCUACGCGUCGUCGCCUUGGUGAGCCGUUACCUCACCAACUAGCUGAUACGAAAUCGCCUGCUCCCAGACCGGCGGACCUUUGAGAACCUCACCAUGCGGAAAGGUUAUAUCAUCUGGUAUUACCCGGCCUUUCGGCCGGCUAUCCCAGAGUCCGGGGCACAUUAGCGAUUCAUUACUCACCCGUUCGCCACUGUGUAUUGCUACACCGUACGACUUGCAUGUCUUAGCCACGCCGCCAGCGUUCAGGCUGAGCCAGGAUCAAACUCU